rnacentral:rRNA from 1 species
CCUUUAAUGUUUGAUGUUCUAACGUGGACCCGUAAUCCGGGUUGCGGACAGUGUCUGGUGGGUAGUUUGACUGGGGCGGUCUCCUCCUAAAGAGUAACGGAGGAGCACGAAGGUUGGCUAAUCCUGGUCGGACAUCAGGAGGUUAGUGCAAUGGCAUAAGCCAGCUUGACUGCGAGCGUGACGGCGCGAGCAGGUGCGAAAGCAGGUCAUAGUGAUCCGGUGGUUCUGAAUGGAAGGGCCAUCGCUCAACGGAUAAAAGGUACUCCGGGGAUAACAGGCUGAUACCGCCCAAGAGUUCAUAUCGACGGCGGUGUUUGGCACCUCGAUGUCGGCUCAUCACAUCCUGGGGCUGAAGUAGGUCCCAAGGGUAUGGCUGUUCGCCAUUUAAAGUGGUACGCGAGCUGGGUUUAGAACGUCGUGAGACAGUUCGGUCCCUAUCUGCCGUGGGCGCUGGAGAACUGAGGGGGGCUGCUCCUAGUACGAGAGGACCGGAGUGGACGCAUCACUGGUGUUCGGGUUGUCAUGCCAAUGGCACUGCCCGGUAGCUAAAUGCGGAAGAGAUAAGUGCUGAAAGCAUCUAAGCACGAAACUUGCCCCGAGAUGAGUUCUCCCUGAGACUUAGAGUCUCCUGAAGGAACGUUGAAGACGACGACGUUGAUAGGCCGGGUGUGUAAGCGCAGCGAUGCGUUGAGCUAACCGGUACUAAUGAACCGUGAGGCUUAACCUUAC